UUGUCCUAUAAGAAAUGUCUGUAUUUAUCUUUUUCCUCUAGAACUGGCAUUACUGUUCGAGAGCUUAUCGAAUGUCAAACGUACUGCUCUUCGCAUCAAUGUUGUUGUUUACGUUUUUACUGUACCGUUUAUUUAAUUUUGUGAAAAGUUCGUUUACGGUCGGGUCUGCUUUUGGUCACUGGUGAACCGACCAGAAAGUUAGGAGAGCAUAUAUAUUGUCAACGACGGAACAGCGGGAACCAGUGACUUAUAAGAUGCAGAAUGAGGCCCUCAAGCUGGUGUCCGUGAAGGGCACUUUGCCGUGUCAAUACUUAGCUUGGGAAGGCUCACAUUCCGAAAACGGUUCAUGUCGAGCACUUCGAACCACUUCUCAACGGAUCGUUUUGAUCGGUAGUGCCGAGAACCCUCUGGACAACCGCGAAGUAUUUUCAACUCUAUUACCAAUUUCUACGGUUAGCAAACCCUGCUAAAUUGACCGUACUCUACAUUGCAUCUACCACUUCGAGCAGGCAUGAUUAGGUCACGCUGGGUGAUGCUGAAACUCGAGUCUGUCUUGCGGGCUGUAACGCUAGUGCACUUCCAGCGUUCCAUUAACCGGAAGUUGGGGAGACGACGUUCGUUUCAAUGAGCAGAUGCAAUCGAUGCUGAACGUUCGGUGGCACUUUAGCAUGGCGACUCAAAAGUUUCUUGAACCUAGAGAAGUGAUUGUGUGGUAUAACACUUCUGAA